AAGUCGUAACAAGGUUUCCGUAGGUGAACCUGCGGAAGGAUCAUUAAUGAAAUUUAUGACUGGAGUUGUAGCUGGCCCUUUAAAACGGGCAUGUGCACGCUCCUUUCACUAAUCCACACACACCUGUGCACCUUCGCGGGGGUCUUCUUUUCGGAGAAGGCUCGCGUCCCUUUACACACCCUUUGUAUGUCUUAAGAAUGUCUACUCGAUGUGAUGAAACGCAUCUAAUACAACUUUCAACAACGGAUCUCUUGGCUCUC
rnacentral:misc_RNA from 1 species